ACACAGUUGAGGAAAAAAAAAAUCCCUUGACUCAUCAUAUAAAUAGUAACCUAAUGCAAUAUUAAAAACAAUCCAGUUAAAUAUUUAAGGCUGUAGAGCAACUCACUUAAUUUACAGCCCAGCACAUCUAAUAGUGGGGGGUGGGAUACCCAUAGGCUUAUUGAAGCCCAGCCCCAAGGAGGUGGGUAGGGGUUAUUGCCCACACCUGUGGGCUGGCCCUAAAAAGGGCUGCAAAGCCCACCAGAGCAAUCUGAGUGGAGUAGUUGAAGAGUGGUAUGCAAGAAAGAAGAUGAGCAGUACAAGCCACAGGGGUAAAUGAUCUGCAGUGCUCAUAGAUCAGUGGUCUGUAAGAGAGAGCCAGAAACGCUGUGAGCAGCAGGUCCCCACAUCACACCUGAAUGGCUGGAAUAGUCUCUCCACACUGGGGACAAUUGUGUAGGAAAGAUGAAAAAAAUAAUGAAGAGUGAAGUCCAAAAACUUGAUACUUCAAAUGUUUCACAGAGAUGGGGGAAAAGAAAUGUGAGCCAAAAAGAUUGUUAAAAAGAAUUCAUAGUGAGGAAGACAGGAAUACCAUCUGGGGUUCUCAUAUAAGGAAGAGCAAGGAGAAACCAGGACUUGUCCACCCUGCAUGUGAAUAUAUGUGCCCAGUAUGAGGCUGUCCUGAGAUCUGGGAGAAGGAGUCUGAGGCCGUAAUCUCCCCUUCAUGCAGCCCAUGUGCUGAGGAGCCACCCAGAGCCUUACUGCAAAGGAAGUGAGUGAUCUGCAGGCCAAGUGCAAGUAUACUUGCAGGAAUGCAGAGGAUCCUUAAUUCUCUCCGGUGAUCACCCUUUACAGCUGUUCACUCUCUGUCUUCAAGGACUCUGAAGAAGAAAAACUUCCUCUUUAGUAUUUCAUUUUGCAAAACUUGAAGCAGCUUUCCCCAAAGGCCAGUUGAGGAUGAAGCCCCUCUUUGUCCCGCAAAGCUGGCUGACACCUCUGCAUGCAUGGUUUGGCAUCACAGCAGCUCACUGCAGAGUUUGUGCAUAGCUCAGCUGCUGGCAGGGGAAGCUUUUGGCAGCUCAGUAUUCAAAGACACAUGCCAUGUAGGCUGUGGUUGCUGUGUUGUUUUCUUGAUGUUGCUGUGACAUUUCCAGAAGAAAAUUAUAAUUACAAAAACUUUCUGCCAGGAUACUCUCACAGGAAUAUCUUUCUUCACAAGGUAAAAGCAACUCUGAAAAGUAUCAUCUAGAUGAAAUUAUCAAAUAAUAAAUAAGGAAAUGUAAGCAGUUUGCACCCUACUUUUGCCUUGGAAAAAAAAAAAUCCCAUUUCUGCGGAGUGUGGCUAGGUUUUACUCUUAACAUGGUCUCCUUGCAGGAGCAGACUGCAGACAUUGGUUUGUGCCACAUGAGCAGUUUCUCAGUGCUAUCAGGAAAUGUGCUGGUGAUCAUUAGCUUUCUCUAAUUUACUUUGUGCUCUCUUAUAUCUUUGAAACAUAACAUUAAAAACAAAUACAAUCAUAACUUGCUAAUAUCAGUGGAAAUCAAUCAGAAAUGGUAUCGUAUAGUCUAGAAAAAGAGGAAGAGGCAUUAAGGAAACUGCAUCCUCAGGGCUGUUUCUCCUUACUCUUUCCUGUUCGUGAUAAUAUGGUUUUUAUUCCCCUGAUGUGAACGUGGCAGGAAAACGUUAUCAUAGCGACUAGCACAAUAAAGUUUGAGUCUUCCUGUACCAAAAAAAAAUUAAUUAUUUUAUAAUAAUCCCUCAAGUAAGGGAAGAUGUAAGGACAUAAUACAAAUUCCACAGACUUCAAAGUGUAUCUGAGAAAAGCUGUUACAAUGAGAAAAAAGAAAUCUGUUUUAUAUAAUUAAUCUGUAUUUGCUAUUAAUUUCACAGCUCAUGAAAUAAAUUGAAUUAAUUACUGGAGUUACUUAGGUGCAUUUUAAAAGUACAGUAAAUAUUUCGUAAUUUUAUAAUUUAUCCUUAAAACCAGAAAUACUCAUAGUACAUUCAUAUCUUUAUUGAUAUUAUUUUUAUCAGGGAAAAGACAAGUUUCCUAUACAUUUUGUAAGUCCAGCUUUAAGUACCACAUCCCUGCACACUCUUAUUUUCAUCCCGUUGUCAUGUGUGAUAAAGUUAGAUCUUUAUCUGUCAGUAUUAUCCACGCUAACCUUGCCAGAUUGAGUUUGUGAAAACUUUUUGGUAUUGAUCUCUUCUGGUUUCAUCACAUCUUCUCGAGCAGAUUGCCUUUGGGCUUGGCACCAGGGGAAUGCUGAUUAGGGAGGGCUGUUUAUUGUAAUACUGAUGGAGAAUGACAAUGAAGCUCCUGUUAGAAACAUCCUGCCUGGAGAGAGACUGGUGUGAAGGUUAAAUGCAGAUAACGGUAUUGGCAAAUGGUGCAAUAAAUCUAAUUGUGCCGUGAUGCACAAAGCGCAACUUGUUCUUUCCCUGUGGGCCCAAAGUUCCCCAAAGGUGCUGGAGUAAUGCAACUGAAAGGUGAGGUCUUCCAUUCCGCCUGUGGGAGCAUUGCUGCUCCCAUGCUUUCAGUAAGUGAUAGCAAGUGGAAGAAUUGAGUACAAAUGCGGAGGUAAUUACAUGGAAAAUAGUAGAGCAGGAAAAAUAGGAUGAUAAAAAGGCAGCAAUUAAGAACUGAUAAGAGAGCUAUAACAUGGAGAUGAGUGUAUUAGUUCAAUAGAUUUUAGGUUUUAGGUAAACAGAAGUGAUGUGUCAGAACAGGCAUAGACAGCACAGUACAACUAAAUGAGAAUACAGUAGAGAAAGAAAUAAACAGUGAAUGAAUGUUAAUUACUAAUUGUAGAUCAGCAGCACGUAAAAUAUGUAUAGUUUGCAUAUAGCUCGGCAAACACAUGUAGCUUAGGAUCAUAGAGAGCUGAUCCUAUUUCCCACUUUGUUUCCCAAACAGAAGGCACUUUUCCACAUGCUCAGAAUCUCAACUUUCAAGGAAGGGUGCAACUUUGUGUAGAAUCAGGGACAACCACCGAAUGCAAGUGGUCACCAGCAAAACACAGAAAACACAUCUGUUGGAUGGGUGAAGCUGUGAGCCCCACCGCUGUGGCUGUAGUGUGACCCGUGUAGGUCAGCUCAUUCUCUACAAAAAGAAUGUAUGGAAAAAAUUGUUCAGAUGCUGUACACAAAAGGUAUUGAAGCUGAAGUUCGUGAUUUGUGCGGUAAUGUCACAAAAUCAGUGAUCCAGCAUUUUAAUUUAAACUUCAGAAACUGGUCAUGGCACCUAAAAUACAUCUAGACUGCCCAACAAAGACCCCAUAGAAACAGAACUCAGUGCCCAGCCAUCAACGUGUUUUAUUCUUUAGUUUAUCUCCUAUGGCUGCUCAAAAUUCUUGAAAACACCAAGAAUUAGAAACCAGGAAAGGCCUGGAAAAAUCUGCAAACUCAUCUUCCGUCGUGAACCCCUCUUCCUUCUUUUUUUCUGAAACACCUGUUGAUUUUGAAUGGCUCCAAGCUGAAGCACCUCGAAGCAAGUUUGGUUUCUGAAAAAUACACACUCAGUAUUUCUGCAGAUGGAGCCUGGCUGAAGAGUUUAGUGAGGUGCUGCAAAUGGAAACACCCUUAAUUAGCAGAAGCUAAUCUGUUUAGUUUUAAUGUUAUCUAACACGUGUCUGCACUAUCACUAAGGCCUAGCUACUGAAAUUCUUGUGGGCCGUGAGAGGUGCAUGCUGCUCAGAAAACCUUGAAAACUGUGGAAUUUGAAGAGGGUGAAACAAAACAAAACUGAGGUUCGUACUCUCUUUGUUGUCAUUUAUCUUGGAAGGAUCAGAUGGGACUCUGCAUGUGCUCUCUCCGCACAAGUUCUGCCAUCCCCACCUUCAACAAACUUUCACUGAACUUACAGAAAUAAUACAUCUGGGAGGAAAUCAAUACCAUUUAUUUUUCCCCUUACCUAAAUCAGCCCUUCUGCAGCUGAAUGAGUCCAGAGGAUGCAGGAAGCCUGGGGCUGCUGCCAGCAGAGCUCAGCCCAUGGCAUGUGGUGAGGUGCCGGCUGAGCCAUUUGCUCCGUUCCCAAACAUCACUUUUCUGAUGUGAAAUCAGGCUGGGUGUAAGAACUUAAUUAAGGGGGAAAUGUGGCGUGCUGGCUGCGGCAAAGGAAACAAUUGGCUUUUACAGAGUUUGAGCUGCAAGUGCUAGACUUUUGCUGCUUGU